rnacentral:rRNA from 1 species
AGUGGGGAAUAUUGCACAAUGAGGGACACCUUGAUGCAACCAUGCCGCGUGUGUGAAGAAGGCCCGAGGGUUGUAAAGCACUUUCAAUUGUGAGGAAGAUUAAGUAGCUAAUAUCUGCUUAAUUUGACGUUAACUUUAGAAGAAGCACCGGCUAACUCUGUGCCAGCAGCCGCGGUAAUACAGAGGGUGCAAGCGUUAUUCGGAAUUACUGGGCGUAAAGCGCGCGUAGGCGGACUGUUAAGUCGGUUGUGAAAGCCCUGGGCUCAACCUAGGAACUGCAUCCGAUACUGGCAAUCUAGAGUUUAAGAGAGGGAAGUGGAAUUCCAGGUGUAGCAGUGAAAUGCGUAGAUAUCUGGAGGAACAUCAGUGGCGAAGGCGACUUCCUGGCUUAAAACUGACGCUGAGGUGCGAAAGCUUGGGUAGCGAACGGGAUUAGAUACCCCGGUAGUCCAAGCCGUAAACGAUGUCAACUAGCUGUUGGUCUUAUUAAAAAGAUUAGUAGCGUAGCUAACGCGAUAAGUUGACCGCCUGGGGAGUACGGUCGCAAGAUUAAAACUCAAAGGAAUUGACGGGGGCCCGCACAAGCGGUGGAGCAUGUGGUUUAAUUCGAUGCAACGCGAAGAACCUUACCAUCCCUUGACAUCCUGCGAACUUUCUAGAGAUAGAUUGGUGCCUUCGGGAACGCAGUGACAGGUGCUGCAUGGCUGUCGUCAGCUCGUGUCGUGAGAUGUUGGGUUAAGUCCCGCAACGAGCGCAACCCUUAUCAUUAGUUGCUAACAUUUAGUUGAGAACUCUAAUGAGACUGCCGGUGAUAAACCGGAGGAAGGCGGGGACGACGUCAAGUCAUCAUGGCCCUUAUGGGAUGGGCUACACACGUGCUACAAUGGGGGGUACAAAGAGCAGCCAACUGGCGACAGUGCGCGAAUCUCAUAAAACCUCUCGUAGUCCGGAUCGGAGUCUGCAACUCGACUCCGUGAAGUCGGAAUCGCUAGUAAUCGUGAAUCAGAAUGUCACGGUGAAUACGU